CCUACGGGUGGCAGCAGUGGGGAAUAUUGCACAAUGGGGGAAACCCUGAUGCAGCGACGCCGCGUGAGUGAAGAAGUAUUUCGGAAUGUAAAGCUCUAUCAGCAGGGAAGAAAAUGACGGUUCCUGACUAAGAAUCACCGGCCAAUAACGUGACAGCAGCCGCGGUAAUACGCAGGGGGCAAGCGUUAUCCGGAUUUACGGGGUGUAAAGGGAGCGUAGGCGGCAAGGUAAGGCAGAAGUGAAAGCCCGCGGCUCAACGGCGGGACUGCUUUUGGAACUGUCUAGCUAGAUUGCAGGAGAGGUGAGUGGAAUUCCUAGUGUAGCGGUGAAAUGCGUAGAUAUUAGGAGGAACACCAGUGGCGAAGGCGACUUACUGGACUGUAAAUGACGCUGAGGCUCGAAAGCGUGGGGAGCAAACAGGAUUAGAUACCCUAGUAGUC
rnacentral:rRNA from 1 species